AAUCAACGCUGGCGGCGUGCCUCAGACAUGCAAGUCGAACGCUGCUGUUCGCCUUCGGGUGGACAGCGGAGUGGCGCACGGGUGAGUAACACGUAGGUAAUCUACCUUUGGGUGGGGAAUAACAGCCGGAAACGGCUGCUAAUACCGCAUAAUGCAGCGGCAUCACAUGAUGACAGUUGUUAAAGCGAGGGAUCGUAAGACCUCGCGCCUGAAGAGGAGCCUGCGGCAGAUUAGGUAGUUGGUGAGGUAAUGGCUCACCAAGCCUGCGAUCUGUAACCGGCCUGAGAGGGCGGGUCGGUCACACUGACACUGACAUACGGGUCAGACUCCUACGGGAGGCAGCAGUCGGGAA
rnacentral:rRNA from 1 species